GACGAACGCUGGCGGCGUGCUUAACACAUGCAAGUCGAACGGAAAGGCCCUGCUUUUGUGGGGUGCUCGAGUGGCGAACGGGUGAGUAACACGUGAGUAACCUGCCCUUGACUUUGGGAUAACUUCAGGAAACUGGGGCUAAUACCGGAUAGGAGCUCCUGCUGCAUGGUGGGGGUUGGAAAGUUUCGGCGGUUGGGGAUGGACUCGCGGCUUAUCAGCUUGUUGGUGGGGUAGUGGCUUACCAAGGCUUUGACGGGUAGCCGGCCUGAGAGGGUGACCGGCCCAAUGGGGCCGGAAGUAGGCCCCGCACCCCUCCGGGGGGGAGGAGGGGGGAAUGUUGCACAAGGGGGGGACGCCUGACGCACCCAGCCCGGGGGCGGGAGGGCGGCCUUGGUUUGGUAACCCCCUUUCCCCUGUGAGGAAGGGGGAGGGCGGGAAAUGGGUAAAAAGGCCCCGGCAAAUUCCGG
rnacentral:rRNA from 1 species